GAUGAACGCUAGCGGCAGGCUUAACACAUGCAAGUCGAGGGGUAGAAGUUGCUUGCAACUUUGAGACCGGCGCACGGGUGCGUAACGCGUAUGCAACCUACCUUUUACAGAGGGAUAGCCCAGAGAAAUUUGGAUUAAUACCUCAUAGUAUAUAAUCUUCGCAUGUUGGUUAUAUUAAAGUUCCAACGGUAAAAGAUGGGCAUGCGUCCUAUUAGCUAGUUGGUGUGGUAACGGCACACCAAGGCGACGAUAGGUAGGGGACCUGAGAGGGAGAUCCCCCACACUGGUACUGGGACACGGACCAGACGCCUCCGGGGGGCAGCAGUGAGGAAUAUUGGACAAUGGGCGCAAGCCUGAUCCAGCCAUGCCGCGUGCAGGAAGAAGCAUCUAUGGUGUGUAAACUGCUUUUGUACAGGAAGAAACACCCCUUCGUGAAGGGACUUGACGGUACUGUAAGAAUAAGGAUCGGCUAACUCCGUGCCAGCCGCCGCAGUAACAC
rnacentral:rRNA from 1 species